rnacentral:rRNA from 1 species
UACAGAGGUCUCAAGCGUUGUUCGGAUUCAUUGGGCGUAAAGGGCGCGUAGGCUGCGGGGCAAGUCGGGUGUGAAAUCUCAGAGCUCAACUCUGAAACUGCACUCGAUACUGCUUUGCUUGAGGACUGGAGAGGAGAUUGGAAUUCACGGUGUAGCAGUGAAAUGCGUAGAUAUCGUGAGGAACACCGGUGGCGAAGGCGGGUCUCUGGACAGUUCCUGACGCUGAGGCACGAAGGCCAGGGGAGCAAACGGG